UGCGUGACUCUCUCCCAGGCUGGCUGGAGGGAAAAGCGGCAGUGCCCUGCAGAAGAGACGAGCUGCUGAGGCGAUGGCCACGGUCCGGGACUCAGCCAUUGUGCUGAUUUUGCUUUUCAGCUCCAGCAUGGAAGAUGCUGUAACUCAGACCCAGCCUUCAGUGUCAGGGGUGGAGCGCGAGUCCGUUUCCCUGGACUGCACUUAUGAAACUGCUGCUAGCAGCUAUUAUUUGUAUUGGUACAAACAGGCCCCUGGGGAAAGCCUUAUUUUCCUUUUUCGGCAAUAUUCUGGAGGAACAAAGAGGAAUGAGGCAGGGGAGAGAUUCUCUGUCAAUUUGGAGAAGUCCAAAAGCUCCGUCAGUUUGAGGAUCACAGCUCUGGAGUUGGGGGAUGCGGCCAUAUACUUCUGCGCUUUCAGUAGAGACACAGUGUUGAAAUUCAUAGGGAGCCCUGAACAAAAACCUGACACCUCUCCGCUAUUGCAAGAAAUUGACUCCCGCAGGUGA